rnacentral:rRNA from 1 species
AUUGAACGCUGGCGGCAGGCCUAACACAUGCAAGUCGAGCGGAUGAAGGGAGCUUGCUCCUGGAUUCAGCGGCGGACGGGUGAGUAAUGCCUAGGAAUCUGCCUGGUAGUGGGGGAUAACGUCCGGAAACGGGCGCUAAUACCGCAUACGUCCUGAGGGAGAAAGUGGGGGAUCUUCGGACCUCACGCUAUCAGAUGAGCCUAGGUCGGAUUAGCUAGUUGGUGGGGUAAAGGCCUACCAAGGCGACGAUCCGUAACUGGUCUGAGAGGAUGAUCAGUCAAAAUUGAAAUGGAGAAACGUCCCGGCUCCUAAGGGAGGGCAGCAGUGGGAAAAUUUGACAAAGGGGCGAAGGCUUGUUCAGGCCAGGCGGCGGUGCGAAGGAAGGUCUUCGAAUGUAAAGCACUUUAAGUUGGGAGGAAGGGCAGUAAGUUAAUACCUUGCUGUUUUGACGUUACCAACAGAAUAAGCACCGGCUAACUUCGUG